rnacentral:rRNA from 1 species
AUGCAAGUCGAACGAUGAAGCCCUUCGGGGUGGAUUAGUGGCGAACGGGUGAGUAACACGUGGGCAAUCUGCCCUUCACUCUGGGACAAGCCCUGGAAACGGGGUCUAAUACCGGAUACCACUCCUGCCUGCAUGGGCGGAGUUGAAAGCUCCGGCGGUGAAGGAUGAGCCCGCGGCCUAUCAGCUUGUUGGUGGGGUAAUGGCCCACCAAGGCGACGACGGGUAGCCGGCCUGAGAGGGCGACCGGCCACACUGGGACUGAGACACGGCCCAGACUCCUACGGGAGGCAGCAGUGGGGAAUAUUGCACAAUGGGCGAAAGCCUGAUGCAGCGACGCCGCGUGAGGGAUGACGGCCUUCGGGUUGUAAACCUCUUUCAGCAGGGAAGAAGCGAAAGUGACGGUACCUGCAGAAGAAGCG